UAACAGCUUGAAUCUAACUGAAAACUUAGCUCUUUUGAAUCAAUAUACAUGUAAGCCCUAGCUUCCCCGUAAAUAGAAUUAAUUCAUAAAUAAAUCUACUAAUUACAUCAAAUUUAUUAUACGUAACAAAACGCCACAGUAAGUAACCCUAAUACUCUGUAAACCCAGGAUUUGGAUAUCAAAUAGAGAGUUGGCAAAAUUCGUGCCAGCUGCCGCGGUUAGACGAUAAACUCAAGCUAAUUAAAACACGACUAAAUACAAGAUGUUCUAAAUAACUUAUUAGGUCUAAUUUUACAGCCAAAGAGUCAUAAACAUCAAAAUCUUAUGAAAGCCUAAACCAAAACACGGAUUAGAUACCCGUCUAUCUAGGCAAUAAAUAAAAGUCGAAAAAUACGAACCAUAGUUUAAAACUCAAAGAUUUUGGCGGUGUCUUAUCAAACCAGGGGAACCUGUCUCAUAACUCGAUAAUCCACGAAUCCCUUACCACUCCUCGAUUAAUCAGUUUGUGUACUGCCGUCGUAAGCACACCUCUAAAAGUAAUUUAGUAUGCAAUCAUAGUUAACCUAUAUACGUCAGGUCAAAGUGCAGCUCAUGGAGAGGUGAUGAUGGGUUACACCCUAAAUAAAGACACGGAAUAUAUUUUCAAAUAAUAUUUUAAGAUGGACUUGGUUGUAAUUUUAAUCCCAAUUAUAAUGAAAAUGAAUCUAAGACAUGCACACAUCGCCCGUCACUCUUGCCUAAAGGUGAGAUAAGUCGUAACAAAGUAGGUGUAACGGAAGUUGCACCUGUCGAAGU
rnacentral:ncRNA from 1 species